rnacentral:rRNA from 1 species
UACAGAGGGUGCGAGCGUUGUUCGGAAUUAUUGGGCGUAAAGCGCUGGUAGGUGGCUUGUUAAGUCGCGUGUGAAAGCUCCAGGCUCAACCUGGAAAGUGCGCGCGAAACUGGCAAGCUUGAGUGCCGGAGAGGGUCGUGGAAUUCCCAGUGUAGAGGUGAAAUUCGUAGAUAUUGGGAGGAACACCAGAGGCGAAGGCGACGACCUGGAAGGUCGACUGACACUGAGCAGCGAAAGCGUGGGGAGCAAACAGG